UGGAGUGUCAACUGAUACGUUUUUCAGUC
rnacentral:piRNA from 1 species